rnacentral:ncRNA from 2 species
UUCAGCUCCUAUAUGAUGCCUUU